rnacentral:rRNA from 1 species
UACGGGGGGGGCAAGCGUUGUUCGGAAUUACUGGGCGUAAAGGGCUCGUAGGUGGCCAAUUAAGUCAGACGUGAAAUCCCCAGGCUCAACCUGGGAACUGCGUCCGAUACUGGCAGGCUUGAAUCCGGGAGAGGGAUGUGGAAUUCCAGGUGUAGCGGUGAAAUGCGUAGAUAUCUGGAGGAAUACCGGUGGCGAAGGCGGCAUCCUGGACCGAGAUUGACACUGAUGAGCGAAAGCCAGGGGAGCAAACGGG